GGCCUGAGAGGGUGAUCCCCCACACUGGUACUGAGACACGGACCAGACUCCUACGGGAGGCAGCAGUGAGGAAUAUUGGACAAUGGGUGCGAGCCUGAUCCAGCCAUCCCGCGUGAAGGACGACGGCCCUAUGGGUUGUAAACUUCUUUUGUAUAGGGAUAAACCUACCUUCGUGAGGGUAGCUGAAGGUACUAUACGAAUAAGCACCGGCUAACUCCGUGCCAGCAGCCGCGGUAAUACGGAGGGUGCAAGCGUUAUCCGGAUUUAUUGGGUUUAAAGGGUCCGUAGGCUGAUGUGUAAGUCAGUGGUGAAAUCUCACAGCUUAACUGUGAAACUGCCAUUGAUACUGCAUGU
rnacentral:rRNA from 1 species